rnacentral:rRNA from 1 species
AAUGAACGCUGGCGGCAUGCCUUACACAUGCAAGUCGAACGGCAGCACGAUCUAGCUUGCUAGUUUGGGGGCGAGUGGCGAACGGGGGAGUAAUGCAUCGCGACAUGCCUUUUAUUGGGGGAGAACGUAUCGAAAGAUACACUAAUACCCCAUAUUCUCUGAGGAGGAAAGAAGGGGACCUCCUGGCCUCGCGCUAGAAUGGCGGCCGAUGUCGGAUUUGCUAGUUGGGGGGGGAAAGGCGCACCAAGGCAACGAUCCGUAGCUGGUCUGAGAGGAUGAUCAGCCACACUGGGACUGAGACACGGCCCAGACUCCUACGGGAGGCAGCAGUGGGGAAUUUUGGACAAUGGGCGCAAGCCUGAUCCAGCCAUGCCGCGUGGGUGAAGAAGGCCUUCGGGUUGUAAAGCUCUUUUGGCUGGGAAGAAAUGGAACCGUCUAAUACCGGGUGUGGAUGACGGUACCAGCAUAAGAAGCACCGGCUAACUACGUG